rnacentral:rRNA from 1 species
ACGGGGUGCAGCAGGCGCGAAAACUGACCAAUGCGCGAAAGCGUGAGUCGGUCAAUCCGAGUGUAGACCCAUCGGUUUACUUUUAUCAUGUGUACAAAGCUUGGUGAAUAAUGUGAGGGCAAGACUGGUGCCAGCCGCCGCGGUAAAACCAGCUCAUAGAGUGGUGAUCGUGAUUAUUUGGCUUAAAGUGUGCGUAGCAGGGAAUUCUAAGUCCUCUGUGAAAUGUCAGGUCUUAAGCUUGACACGUGCAGAGGAUACUGGAAUCCUUGGGACCGGGAUAGGUGUAAUGUACGGUUUGGGUAGGGGUGAAAUCCGAUAAUCCAAGCCGGACAACCGGUGGCGAAGGCGUUACACUGGAACGGGUCCGACUGUGAGGCACGAAAGCUAGGGUCGCGAGCCGGAUUAGAUACCCGGGUAGUCCUAUGCUGUAAACGAUGCUCAUUAAGUGUUAGGUAAUGCAAGACAUUCUCUAGUGCCGAAGCGAAAGCGUUAAAUGAGCCGCCUGGAAGUACGUUCGCAAGA